UACGGAGGGUGCAAGCGUUAUCCGGAUUCACUGGGCGUAAAGGGCGCGUAGGCGGCAGAUUAAGUCAGCUGUGAAAUCUCCGAGCUUAACUCGGAACUGUCAGCUGAUACUGUUUUGCUAGAGUGCGGAAGGGGCAAUCGGAAUUCUUGGUGUAGCGGUGAAAUGCGUAGAUAUCAAGAGGAACACCUGAGGUGAAGACGGGUUGCUGGGCCGACACUGACGCUGAGUGCGCGAAAGCCAGGGGAGCAAACGGG
rnacentral:rRNA from 1 species